rnacentral:rRNA from 1 species
GGUUAAGCGACUAAGCGUACACGGUGGAUGCCCUGGCAGUCAGAGGCGAUGAAGGGCGUGCUAAUCUGCGAUAAGCGCCGGUAAGGUGAUAUGAACCGUUAUAACCGGCGAUACCCGAAUGGGGAAACCCAGUGUGAUUCGUCACACUAUCAUUAACUGAAUCCAUAGGUUAAUGAGGCGAACCGGGGGAACUGAAACAUCUAAGUACCCCGAGGAAAAGAAAUCAACCGAGAUUCCCCCAGUAGCGGCGAGCGAACGGGGAGGAGCCCAGAGCCUGAAUCAGCAUGUGUGUUAGUGGAAGCGUCUGGAAAGGCGCGCGAUACAGGGUGACAGCCCCGUACACAAAAGCGCAUGUGCUGUGAGCUCGAUGAGUAGGGCGGGACACGUGGUAUCCUGUCUGAAUAUGGGGGGACCAUCCUCCAAGGCUAAAUACUCCUGACUGACCGAUAGUGAACCAGUACCGUGAGGGAAAGGCGAAAAGAACCCCGGCGAGGGGAGUGAAAAAGAACCUGAAACCGUGUACGUACAAGCAGUGGGAGCCCCACCACCAAAGCAUUCUCUGGUGUUGAAGGCCCUGCAAAGCAGCAUCGCGGUGGCGGAGCGUCGUUUGCGACGCCCAACACACAAAACAAGCGGUGAAUGCUUUGGGGUGGGGUGACUGCGUACCUUUUGUAUAAUGGGUCAGCGACUUAUAUUCUGUAGCAAGGUUAACCGAAUAGGGGAGCCGGAGGGAAACCGAGUCUUAAUUGGGCGUUAAGUUGCAGGGUAUAGACCCGAAACCCGGUGAUCUAGCCAUGGGCAGGUUGAAGGUUGGGUAACACUAACUGGAGGACCGAACCGACUAAUGUUGAAAAAUUAGCGGAUGACCUGUGGCUGGGGGUGAAAGGCCAAUCAAACCGGGAGAUAGCUGGUUCUCCCCGAAAGCUAUUUAGGUAGCGCCUCGUGAAUUCAUCUCCGGGGGUAGAGCACUGUUUCGGCUAGGGGGCCAUCCCGGCUUACCAACCCGAUGCAAACUGCGAAUACCGGAGAAUGUUAUCACGGGAGACACACGGCGGGUGCUAACGUCCGUCGUGAAGAGGGAAACAACCCAGACCGCCAGCUAAGGUCCCAAAGUCAUGGUUAAGUGGGAAACGAUGUGGGAAGGCCCAGACAGCCAGGAUGUUGGCUUAGAAGCAGCCAUCAUUUAAAGAAAGCGUAAUAGCUCACUGGUCGAGUCGGCCUGCGCGGAAGAUGUAACGGGGCUAAACCAUGCACCGAAGCUGCGGCAGCGAACGUAUCACUUAAAGCGAUUCAGCGGGUUACGAUUGACGGAGCGAAGCGACGUCAAAGCGUAUACAAAGUCGAGUCGGUUUAAGGAUACGUUCGUUGGGUAGGGGAGCGUUCUGUAAGCCUGCGAAGGUGGCCUGUGAGGGUUGCUGGAGGUAUCAGAAGUGCGAAUGCUGACAUAAGUAACGAUAAAGCGGGUGAAAAGCCCGCUCGCCGGAAGACCAAGGGUUCCUGUCCAACGUUAAUCGGGGCAGGGUGAGUCGACCCCUAAGGCGAGGCCGAAAGGCGUAGUCGAUGGGAAACGGGUUAAUAUUCCCGUACUUGGUGUUACUGCGAAGGGGGGACGGAGAAGGCUAUGUUGGCCGGGCGACGGUUGUCCCGGUUUAAGCGUGUAGGUGUGUGUUCCAGGUAAAUCCGGUUCACUUUAACACUGAGGCGUGACGACGAGGCACUACGGUGCUGAAGCAACAAAUGCCCUGCUUCCAGGAAAAGCCUCUAAGCAUCAGGUAACACGAAAUCGUACCCCAAACCGACACAGGUGGUCAGGUAGAGAAUACCAAGGCGCUUGAGAGAACUCGGGUGAAGGAACUAGGCAAAAUGGUGCCGUAACUUCGGGAGAAGGCACGCUGACACGUAGGUGAAGUGAUUUACUCAUGGAGCUGAAGUCAGUCGAAGAUACCAGCUGGCUGCAACUGUUUAUUAAAAACACAGCACUGUGCAAACACGAAAGUGGACGUAUACGGUGUGACGCCUGCCCGGUGCCGGAAGGUUAAUUGAUGGGGUCAGCGCAAGCGAAGCUCCUGAUCGAAGCCCCGGUAAACGGCGGCCGUAACUAUAACGGUCCUAAGGUAGCGAAAUUCCUUGUCGGGUAAGUUCCGACCUGCACGAAUGGCGUAAUGAUGGCCAGGCUGUCUCCACCCGAGACUCAGUGAAAUUGAACUCGCUGUGAAGAUGCAGUGUACCCGCGGCAAGACGGAAAGACCCCGUGAACCUUUACUAUAGCUUGACACUGAACAUUGAGCCUUGAUGUGUAGGAUAGGUGGGAGGCUUUGAAGUGUGGACGCCAGUCUGCAUGGAGCCGACCUUGAAAUACCACCCUUUAAUGUUUGAUGUUCUAACGUGGACCCGUAAUCCGGGUUGCGGACAGUGUCUGGUGGGUAGUUUGACUGGGGCGGUCUCCUCCUAAAGAGUAACGGAGGAGCACGAAGGUUGGCUAAUCCUGGUCGGACAUCAGGAGGUUAGUGCAAUGGCAUAAGCCAGCUUGACUGCGAGCGUGACGGCGCGAGCAGGUGCGAAAGCAGGUCAUAGUGAUCCGGUGGUUCUGAAUGGAAGGGCCAUCGCUCAACGGAUAAAAGGUACUCCGGGGAUAACAGGCUGAUACCGCCCAAGAGUUCAUAUCGACGGCGGUGUUUGGCACCUCGAUGUCGGCUCAUCACAUCCUGGGGCUGAAGUAGGUCCCAAGGGUAUGGCUGUUCGCCAUUUAAAGUGGUACGCGAGCUGGGUUUAGAACGUCGUGAGACAGUUCGGUCCCUAUCUGCCGUGGGCGCUGGAGAACUGAGGGGGGCUGCUCCUAGUACGAGAGGACCGGAGUGGACGCAUCACUGGUGUUCGGGUUGUCAUGCCAAUGGCACUGCCCGGUAGCUAAAUGCGGAAGAGAUAAGUGCUGAAAGCAUCUAAGCACGAAACUUGCCCCGAGAUGAGUUCUCCCUGAGACUUAGAGUCUCCUGAAGGAACGUUGAAGACGACGACGUUGAUAGGCCGGGUGUGUAAGCGCAGCGAUGCGUUGAGCUAACCGGUACUAAUGAACCGUGAGGCUUAACCUU